UAGAAAUGUAUGAGGGGUUUCAGAAGAGAGUUCUUGCCCCAUAGCACUGCCCUUGCUUUUUCUGCAUUCUUCCCUCCUCUGAUACACAUUUUCGUUUCACACUUUACCAGGCUGAUAAGUCAGGCACAAAGCAAACCACUUUGCAAGAGCUCAGCUUCUCAUCCCACCAAUUGAAAUAAGCAAGAGAAGAGUUGCAGAGAAGCAGCAACCAAGGUCAGUUCAGAAGGGUGUGGGCAGAAUAGUAGUCUGUUUAGCAUGAAAAUGUCAUGAUGAAGCAUCUUCCUGAGUUGUGCUGAGGCACUUGAAAGAUGGAAGAGAAAUGUCUUAAGUAAAGAACAUGUUAAAAGUGGCUGCUCAUAACACCUGGGUAGAUAUUUCCAAAUGAAGGUACAUUUUGACAUUCCGGGCUUUCAGUAUGGAUUGGGCAGUGAUAAAUGAGGACUCUAGGUGGAAAAACGACACACCCUUACCUUUCCGAAACAGUACAUAAGAGUCCACCAGUGCAUCCCAUUCUCAGUGAAGUUUGAUCAGCGUUUUCUUCUUUAAUGCAGUUGGGUCUAUUGGUGAACAAAGCCAGCAAUUGGUUUCUCCAUAGGAAGGAAAUGGAAAGAGGCCUCUGUGCCUUCAAUAGGAGUGGAGUAUUUACCCCCUGCAAAUAUUACCAGGCAGCUCUACAGAGACAUGGCUUCAUUCAGUGGUGGCUACAAGCCCAAUAUCCCCGUGUGAGGGUUUUGUGGUGUGUUUCUUUUAACUUCGUGGGGUAGCUGGCACUGCAUGAUGGGAAAGAAGAACGAGUGUUGGAAAUUGCGCAGGUUCCAACCUCUUUCGGUUCUUUCUCCAUCAUCCCUUUUGUGGGUUGUUACAUUUUUAUUUCAUUCUUCCUCCAAGAAAUCUGAGCAACGUAGAUUGAUUUGAUUACUUACUUACAUUUAUGCCUCACCUUUCUUCUGCCCUGGGCCCAAAGACAUUGCUCCCCCAUUUAGCUUCAGCCAAGUGGUGCCCCCCAUGCUGCCAGAUGGGGUCAGGCCUACCGUGUUUCUCUGCUUGCACAUGCACUAGUUUCAAAAAUUGGCCUGGUCCAGCAAGGUAAGUGAAGUGGUUUUACAGGCUCUGCAAUGGUUUCAUUCUAGUUGCUUAUGUAUUUAUUACAUACGAUUGUGUCUUUGCUUGUAUUCAUUUACACCCCACCUUUCAGCCCAGGGUGGCUCACAAGCACCAUAAAAAGCAAUAUGCAGUUGACAAAAACAAUGACCAACUGAAUUAAAAGGAUUUUAAAGGAUAUUUUUUUUGUAAGGUUGCAAAAGAAGAUGAAAUAUGGAGUUGCUGCUCUGUUAAAACAGUCUGCAAUCUUUGCUUAGGGUGGUCACUUGCACAGAGAGAGAUGACAAAAGAGGAUCAGAGUUGCAUAAAAAUGGACAGACACUGUUUCAUAUGUACAGUGUAGGUCAACAUUUAGUACCUAUGACCAUCAUUUGAAAAAUAAAUUCAGUACUUCUUACCAUAGCAUGUAUGUACCGCUCAGUCUGCCGUCCAGUCUUCAGUGCUCUCUCUCGCCCUCUCUUGUUCUGGUCCUUUACCUUUAAGCCGGACUUGAACUGGACAGCCUUUCAAAUAGAGGACUGUUAAAGAGAUGAGAUAUAACUACACCAUUCUAGCUACAAGCAAAAGUGGCACUUGAAAGCAAAGCUUUCCAAUCGAACAGAAAGAGCAAGGGGUGGUGGGGAAGGAAGAGAAAGGGAAGAGGAUGCACCUAUGAGCAGCCAGGAUACUUACACGUUUGUGUUUCUGGCUCAAGCCAGUUUAGCCCUUGCCUGGCCCAGGAGAGAGGGGGCAGGCGAAGGUUGGGAAGGUGACGGGGGCAGAGUCCUUGCUUCGUGCAAGGCUGGUUGUUGCUAACAAAAGCCAGAGAGAGAGCAGCAGCAGCCUCUUCUCUCUCUCUCUCUCUCUCUCUCUCUCUCUCUCUGUGUGUGUGUGUGUAGAGCAGAGCUCUUGGGGGAGGCUGGGCUAGCUAGCGUGUGCUCGUGUGUUGUUGCUCGCAGCUAUGUUCUCUGGCUUUCACAUCCACUUGGCUUUUUACACUGGAAGGAUCCCCAGCACUCUGAUAUUAGGCCAGGAAAAUAGAAGGAGCAAUAAAAAAAAUAAAAUAGAGGGUUUUCGGGGGUUUUUAAGAGAAGGGAAGGAAGGAGGGGGCUUUUAAUGAAUUGGCUUGAGUUAAAGCACUUAAUUUUCAGCUUAAAAUGCUUGAGGAUGGGUAAUGAUUUGAGGGAGGGUGGGAUGUUUGUUUGAGGUGGGCCUUUUUGCUAGUCUCCCUCCCUCCCCCGUCUCGUGAGCACAUUGCAAAUGGGCCUCCUACACACCAAAGUGUGCAGCUGUGCUUCAGUUUCCCCCAGUAUCCAGCUACCCUCAAACGCUAUCGUAAUGCAUAUUGCAUUUGCAGGAUCCAAAGGAACAUGGAAGGGAUUUCUCUCUCUCUCUUUACUCUGCAUUGUUUUCUCUCCUUUUGCAUUGCUUAUCAGACGGCACAUGGCACAUGUUCACCAUUAGUCUCUGUAAUGGACAAAUACAUCCUCCCCCCCUCCCCGCCAAAAAAGGGUGGAGAAUUUUUUUUCCUCUGCCCUUCUUUCACAAGGCCUAAACUUGCUUCCAUAAGAAAGCUCAAGGCUAGGCUGCCUUCAAGACAAGCUGCCAGACUCUUCUGCUAGGACUCAGCUAGAUUGGUAAAGAAAAGGCAUUUCAUACGUGUUGUAUAUGCAAUAUAACAAUGUGACACCAGAAGGCGCUGUGAAGUCCUGUCUUUCCCUACCAGAUUUCCCUGUAUGGGUUUGCAAUGUGUUUAACUGAAUUGCUUCUUUGACGUGUCUAGAUCCAGCCCUAGUGUCAGCCCAAGAAGUAAAAGUGAGAAUACCUCUGAGCAUAUGUAGAAUGUCUUCAGUUCGCUAUGAAGGUGGAAGCAGUAGCUGCUUUUGCAAAUCUCAGUGUUGGAGCACCCAGGUCAGGACAGAAUGGGAUAACUUUUCCUAAAUCUGAUCACUUCUGGUAUUUGAGAUUAAGCCUUUAGGGUUGCGAACUGCUUUGGCCUGAUCCUCUGCCUUGGAAGAGAAGAUUGUUCUGCAGAAAUCAGAAGGGGUAUAUUAUUAUUAGUAGUAGUAUUAAUAUUAUUAUUUUACAAAGUAUGAAGACAAAGUGACCUAUAAUGAGUAUGGGGUUGCUCGUGCGUAAGUUGCCGCCUCUCCUGGCUAUGUUGCCUUGUUAAACCUUUCUGUCUGGACAGCCCUUCAAUUCGUGGCUGCCUCAGUCGCUAGCAGAAUCCGUCAGUGGGCGUUUCUUAAACCUCUUCCAACAUAAAAGUUGUUUGACGCCCAGUCUCCUCCUACUCUCCCUGCGUGGAAGUCUUCUGCGCAGGGAGGGCGUGGAUAGCGGAGGACCCGUGCUCUCCCUGCUGGUGUCCAGUGAAGAGUCCUGGAGCCCUCUCACCGAUUCCCCCAUCUGCCCCCCUUUAUCCCUGGUGUAACGUUGAUUUGCUUCCCCCUCUGCUGAACUGCCUCUCUCCCUGCUUGGCCCUUCUCCAGCAUCAUUUGAGAGCCUUCCCUCCGCCUCAGGCUCCGAUGUCAGUUCCCUGACAUGACCUAAUAAUAUCUUCAAUCUAUCUGUUUAGAGGCAAAGGAGCCUUGCCCUCCUCGUCAUCUAGUGACCUUCCACACCAGUAGUCACUUGUCUCUUACACCCUUCUAUUUGGGCACUUUCGGGUUUAUUACUAUUCAUUCUGGAGAUUAGAUGAUGUUGGCUAUUUAAUGAACAUUCAUGCUUGCAGGGAGACUAGAUGAUGCAUCAAAGCAAACAUUGUCCCACACUUUCCAGUGUAUUUUAUCUGUCACUUCCCCUAUCACAAAAAGUCUAGUCUUUUAGCAAAGGGGGUUUGUUGCAGAAGAACUCCCAGUCAGCUUUAACUUUGCAACUUAGAUUUGCCUGUAUGUGACUGAAUCCCACCCCCAAAACAGCCACCGUCUGAAAGUGCCUUUUGUCCCCUCCUAACAUGUGAGAUGGCUUGCUCUGCAUGUGUUUCCACCACAAGUAGUAUGGUGUAGUCCUGGGCUCCUUUUCCAGUGGGAGCCUUGUGGGUGGGGGUCUGUGUAUGUCUCUCUUUCCCAUCCCUUGCAUUUUGGUUGCAGAGAGCAGAACUUCUCAUAGAAAACCCCGGCCUUAGCCAAGACAACACCCUCAACAUUAAAUCAGCACAAAAUUCCUCUGGGCUUUCUCAGAGUUCAGCCUGCAACUCUGACGAGGUAUCUAGAGGCACAUUAAAACAAAUCUGGUCAAGUAAAGGGGCAGGCAAGUGAUCCAUGCAAAGGGCCUGACCUUUGUGGAGCUUCAAAUAGAAAAGGCCUGUCUGUAAACAGUGGUAAUUAGCCCUUUCAAAAUUCUAACGACGAUUAAAAUGUAGGGAUCGUUAUUUUGUCAACAAACUUAGGAGGGCAGAGAGAAAACUUCAGUGCCAGCUUUUGCUUGCUGGCUCUUAAAAACAGAGGCACCCAAUGAACUGAGGAUGGGAACACAAGCAGAGGCCUUCCUAAAACCUUGGUGUCUCAUCCGUAGAACAAGAGCCAGCCUGAGCUGUAUCUGAUAUUAAGCAAGGACAGGUUGACUCUCCUUCUCACAACAAGGAAUCAGCACUGGGAAGCGUCUUUUAACUCUGUAAUAACAGGUUUCAUAGUAAAUGAAUGCUGAUGGUCAACUAGCCAAUUAUGGUUUAACUAUCCCUUGUUUACAGCAAGGUGUAAAACAUGCCUUUAGAGUACAAAGGAUCAGACUGCCUAAGCUACAAUUUGUCCUUCAUCCCAUUAUGCUCCCCUUAAGCAAGGCUGGCUCUCUCUCCACCUCCCUCCCUCCCUUCUCUGUGUCUCUCUCACACACAUAGGUAUGAGCACUGAGGAACAUACCUCCCCUCUGUUGAUUUGCGUUUGCUUUAUUUCAAAUGCAUAUUCUUGUUUACUUUUCAAAAUUUACAUAAAUGUCAGCAUUGUAUAAUUUCUAUGUUAACAAAGCAGUGAGCAAAAUCCCUUGUAUGUUUAUAAAAUAUUAUUGUUUAAUUCAUGUAGUUUAGGAAUUCCAAAUGUUGAGAAUAGGAAGGAGGCCAAAUACCAUCUGUUUAUAGCUCUGCUGCAUCAUCAUAUGUGCACUUAAAAAAAAAAAGCGGGAAAGAGCUCUCUUGGUCAAUCCACUGUAUUUUUUACUGUAUUUCAAUUCGGGGGCUCUAUUGAAUCACUCUUAGAUCUUUGCCAACAUUCCUUGAUAAGGUUUAAAUUCUGACCAGUUAAGCAAAAAGAAAUGUAUUCACUUCAGAAUAUGUGUUAAUUACAGAUCCAUGCUAGCUUUGCACGACUCUCUCUCUCUCUCUCUCUCUCUCUCUCUCACACACACACACACACACACACACUUUCUCUCAUUUUGUUUCAAUAUUCAUUUGCUUUUCUGAUAGGACAAGAUUUGUGUGUCUCUGAUUUUCACAUGAUCAUGAGAACUUCAAUAAUUAUGUGAUCAUGUCUUGGUUGUGUGACACAGGCCUAUUUUGGACUACAUUAGCAGCAGCAUCUCUGUAUUAAUUUCAUUCCCCCAGGAGUACUGGUUGGCAAACAUUAUUCCCAUGCAUUUUCCUAUGCAAACAGCUUAUAGGGCUAAAUCUGCUUAGCUUCGGCAGUAAGGCUGCACCAUGAUGUGGAAUAAAACUUUUCAAGCAGAAAUGCCCCCUCUCUUGAUUGCCACCUCAAUCAGUCCUGUGGAACCGGGGGGGGGGGGGGGGGACAGGGGAUGGGGGGACGACGACACUACUUUCACUUUUCAAAUUCAUUUAUUUGAGAUGAGGGUACUCAUACCUCCAUAGGUAUGACUCUCAGAAAUAUAUGCAUGUCAACCUUUUGGAAAGAUCAUCUUCAUCAGGCAGCUUGUAUUGAGCAUGAAUAAUUACUAGUAAUUUUUAUACUAGGUUUUCAUACAUCUCAAAAGUGGUCUGUGAAUAACCCAGAAUGGUAGCACUAGAGGCUAACAUUGUGUUGGCGUGAAUGUUGGGUUUGCAAACCCUGGCAAGUCUUUGACACACCUGCGGCCUGGAUGCUACAUGUCCCACAUCCAAUAUCAAUGUAGUCCCCAGAGUUCCAAUACAAAAUUUUGUGUUUGUGUUCAGGAGCUUUUAUAACCGAUACAACAAGUUGCAAGAUGCAUCAGCAGUCAUCGCACAGUCUGGUAGACAGCAGGUUUGUGGAGCUUGGUUGUUGAAGAAGGAGCCAUUUAAAUCCAACAGUAUUGUUGGUUGUAUGUACUGGCAUCACACAAAAACGUGAUACCCUGUUUUUCCAGGAUAUAAUGAAUCACACAUCCUCUAUUCAGUUGCCAUAUUUGGCCAUGACAAGACUUAUCUGCAGUUGCUCUCAGAAUAUUUGUUUUUCUGUUUGUUCAAGGUGGUCCAACUGGUUUUGUCUGUUGUUACUCUAGGUGUUAGAGUCUAACAUAUGAGAAAUGCAGAUGCAGCUAUAAAGCAAUAGUUUGGGGGUGGAGUAGGGCUGUCCACCUGUCAAUCACCUGAUGCCACAAUGAUGUCAGCUGAUGGGGCUUGCAAAGAACCUUGUGUGGUGCUUUAAAACACCCACAGUUAGCUUAUUGGGACUCUUUGCAAGGAGCAAGAAUUGCACCUUCAAGAAUUGGCUGGCAGCUCUCCCCACCAAUCACACUCUACUUUCUGCUGGAAUCAGCCAUACUAUGGAUUUCCCCUCUACAAUUCCCCUUCAAAGUCCCUUUUAUAUGACCUAUAAAGCCCUGUAGGUCCAAGCUAUCUGAAAGAAUGUACGGUAUUCCCUCAUAAGAACCUGCCUGGGUUUUGAUCUCUUCAGGGGAGGUCAUUUUCUCAGUCCUGCCACCCUCACAGGCAUGCUUGGUGGGGACCUGGGAAAGGGCCUUCUCGGUGGCUGCUCCCAGACUCUGGAACUUCCUCCUUGAAGAAACUCAACUGGCUCCUUCCUUGUUGUCCUUCCACCAGCAGGUGAAGACCACCUUGUUCCAACAGGCUUUGGGGAACUGAUUGCUUUUAAUCAGGGGCUGGUGCCGUGCUGUUUUUUGUUGUGAUUGUAUGUUUUAAGAUACAGUGGUACCUCAGGUUACAGACACUUCAGGUUAUAGACUCGGCUAACGCAGAAAUAGUACCUCGAGUUAAGAACUUUGCUUCAGGAUGAGAACAGAAAUCACACAGCAGUAGCGGGAGGCCCCAUUAGCUAAAGUGGUACCUCAGGUUAAGAACAGUUUCAGGUUAAGAACGGACCUCCAGAACAAAUUAAGUUCUUAACCCAAGGUACCACUGUAGAUCUUAGAAUCACAGAAUUGUAGAAUUGGAAGGGACCCUGAGGUCAAGGCCAACCCCUGCAAUGCACGAAUAGGCAGCUAUUAUUAUUAUUAUUAUUAUUAUUAUUAUUAUUUGUACACCACCCUUCAUCUGGAGAUCUCAGGAUACCAUCAUCUCAGAUAGAUAAGAACACAAGAUAUAUGUAUAUAGUUGUAAUUCUAUUAUUUGUUUUUUAAUUAUUCCCCCCCCCCUAUGUUUUUAGUAAUUCUUGUUUUUAUCUAUAAACUGUAUUGAGUCACGUCAGGGGAAAAGGCGAGGUAUAAAUAAAUAUAUAAUAAUAAUAAUAGUAAUAUAAGAUGACCCCAGCUGGCUUGCUGUCACCACCAAUCAACUGACUGAUGCAGAGAGCAAGCUUCCCUUGCUUGCUCACCUGCCUAUCAUCUCAUGUCAUGUAUGAUGUCAGGAAUGGGGCAUGUGGGCAUGGUUUUGGUGAAAAGGCCUUGUGGGCCAAAUUGGGUCAUGCAGCAGGACUAAUUGAGCUUGCAGGCUGCCAGUUCCCACCCCUUCCCUGGUCUCAAAUUACCUUGUUGCAUCAUUGCUUGCCUUGUGACAGAGGGAUGAGCCUCUGUUCCAUGGUCCCACAAUGUGGCAACCACUAGUUCACUAGAAGAGUAAUAAGGCAGAUAUUGCAACAUCAUUCACACAAUACCUUUAAACACUUCCAUCGAAUUGGUGGAUUUCAUCCAGUCAUCAGAUAAAACAAUUAACUUAUUUACUCUAGAGUAGUCCUGCUGUUUGUUGGAGUGCCUGUUCCAUCGGUUCCCCGCCCCAUCCCAGGAAUGUGACAAAAACGCUGAUUUUCAAAAGGUUGUCAGAUGUCUUAAGAAACCACAUUGGGGGGAAAAUAGCAGGGGCUCCUGAAAACGCUGCUACGUUAAAACUGCACGCUGUGUCCAUGCCGAAUACAAGGUGUGCUUGCUUAACUGAGGGAUAUGUCCUUUGUUGUUAAGUCACUAAGAAGAUUUGCCUUCCAAGCCCAUGUUAAUUAGUUAGCUUGUCAAGUCCUGUAGACGUCUUUCCACCUUUAAAAGCAGGAGAUUCCCUGAGAAAUGGGCUUAAAACAUCCUAGCAAGGGCUGGAACGCUGAAUGCCCAGAUUAGUGGCAGGCUUUGUUGUGCUUGCAUCGGGGCAACCCAGCUGCAGUUUAUCCUACUAUUGCUAAUGAUGCUUGGAGUGAUAGAGGUGGCUUGUGGAGCUUGCAUAUGGGGUCCCUUCCCUGAGGAGGCGGAAUAAUAGCUGCUACUCAGGUGGUAUAUGGGAGGAUAAGAGCAGAUCUGCAGUUGUGUUUCUGCCUGGUGCAUGGUGACUCCGAGCGGCACAAUAUCAAGGUAUAGAGUCUGAAGCAGGGCUACAUAUCUUCCUCUACCGCAGAGGGACCGAUGUACAGGUGGAAAACCAUGGCAGUAAGCUGGUUGUAUCCCAGCCCUGUCAGAAUGUACAUCUGCGAAUUAAAUAAUUUUGUUGCAAAGUGUUUGCCGUAUUAUGCAGUUGCUCAACUCCAAGCAUUGCUCACUGUGUUGAAAUUUCUUUUAACUUUUGCCCUUAAAGCUCCCUUGUGCCUGCUGCAAUGUUCAGUGUUACAGCAACUCAAAUUAUUUAGCUGUACCCAGUUAGAGGGAUAUUGCCUCUUUAGUUGUGAUGCAAGGAACUGAAGCUCAGACCCUUUGAAAAAACAGAAGAACCCUCCUCUUCUCCUGUCGCACACUCUGCUACUUACAUUGUUAUCUCCAAGCAAUUGGUGACAGUAAAAUGCACCUAAACCUCCCUUCCUAUGAACAGCAUUAAUAGGUUACGAGGAACACAGGAAAGCAAGGAAGGCAUAUCGAGGGUGGGGAAAACGAGGAGGAAAGAUGCUGACUAACAAAUUUGUCUUGUUUUGCAGUGGUGAAAUGUGUCAUUUCAAAUAGAAACGGGUAUAAUUCCAAGUCUGUAAAAGUAGAAAUGCCAUUAGGAGUGUGAUGCAGUGCCCUUAUGAAUGACUAGCCAGGGAGAACUAGAUUUCAUGGCCUUGGGCGUUUUAAAAAGAUAGCUCUGAUCAAAUGAGAAAACCAAUCUGGAAUCCGAGCCUUCAAGGGAGUAGCCAUAUAACUAUUUCAGCCCGUAAGAGUGACAGCGGAAUCCUAGACCACACAAACAUCAGCACAUGCCAGUCUGAUUGUGGCUUUGAAUUGCCAGGCGUUUAAAACUAGCCUGGAUUUGCCACUUGGCAGGCCGCUACUGAACAGCAUUAAUUAUGAUGUGCCAAAAGCCAAAAACAGGCUCGGCCCAUCCUGUGGAGUCACAGACAUACAAUACGCUGAGCUGAAGCAGCCUGAAGUAGCCAGGGGCUAUUCUUUGUAUCUUAGGAACUCUGGUUUAUUCCCUCAGUGUGUGUGUGUUUGUAAGUUUCCGCCGAGACUUUCCAUAGUCUAACUCUGCCUGUCCUUUGCUGGAUGCAUAUGGUGCAGAUGAAGAAAAAGGGUGGGAUUGGAGGAGGAGAAGGGAAGAAAAAGCUGCACAACAAACUACCCCCCCAACCGGGUCUAGCAGGCCUGGACCAUUCCUAGCCUGUCCUUGUAAGAUGACCCAGUUUCUCUAGUCUUCCAUCCUGUAUAAACUGAGAGCUAAUGUCUCCCACUCCCAUACAUGAGUGGGUAGUCUUGCAGGGGAGUUGACUCCCAGCAGUAUUUAAAACCUCAACAGCCCCAACUCUCAACAUCUAAAAGGGGAGAACAGCACCUUCCCAGCCUAGGUGCAACUUUUAUGAGUGGCUAGUCAGAGCCACCUGUCAAUCAGAACCUACUUGGCUCAAGAGCACCGUAGAAAUGGAAUGUAGCCAAAAUUCAGUUAUUCCUCCUGACCAUUCAGGAUGCUCUGUGCCUUGCGAGGAAGGCCUAGCUAGUUUUCUGAAAUGUAAUCUUCACUUUCUUAAAGUACCGAAAAAGCCCUUUCCCUUUUUCUUGCCUCUUAUCCUUAAUAAACUUUCAAAAAUUGGCUGUCAGGGUUCUCUGUGUGCAUUUGUGCCAGACUCAAAGGGAUAUUUUCCCUUCACAUGCCUAGACCAUUUGGCUUCACAGUGCUUGUGUUUAUCAGUGGGAUUUGGCAGACAAAAGUAAGCUCUGGUGAGAAAUGGAUUAAAACAGGAUGAUCCGUCUGCCUCACAAAUAGUCACCUUGCACCUUCAGGUCUCACUUCCACCCAAGGGAACCCCAGGGAGUGUGCUGGCAGUCUACCUGAAGAACCCCUUGCACAGCUAGACUACCCAAAGUGGCAGUCAUGGAAGGGGAGAAGAGAAAAGCCCUUUUCCAUUACAGCAUGUACUGAAAUGCGUGUGGAGAGCUACAACCAUCAUGGUGCCAGUGAUCCUGAGCCAUGUACAUGGCUUAAGCACAGAGAUGGGAAACUGAAGGUCUUUCCGAUAUUAUUUAGGCUAUAAUGCCCAGCUUUCCUGGCCACUGGGCAUGCCGGCUGGAGCAGAGGGGAGUUUGGAGUCCCUCGCCAUCUGAAGGGCCACAUAUUACUCACCCCUGGUUUAAACCUUUGUCAGAGCUUUCCUACCCAAUGUGCUCCACGUGGAAGGUUCCAGCUUGUGAAGAAUAUAGCAAAGAGAGCACAUGAUAUGAUUGCCUUCUCGACUCAAGGCCAUCACAUCUAUAUCUCCAUCCUUACUCUUAUGAGGUCAGGAUGGCAUGCGUGGGGUCAUCUGUGUAAUCUUCAUUUAAAAAGUACGGUGGGUUUGGUGUCAUGACCCCAGACACAGACCCUCACAUUACCCCAAGGAAGAUGCAGAUGAGGAGGUAAUUUGGCCUUCAGCACUCAGGAGAAGAUCCUCAACACCAUCUCCUGGGCCUUCCAGACCUGAGGGUGUAGGCCUCUCACUCCCCUCAGACAUAAGGGGAUGAGCCCCCAGUAGCAUCCCUAUCAUUUCCAAAGCAUCAAAUUCAGCACCUGCAGAAUCAGACAGGUCAGCACAUAGCUCCUUAACUACUGUAUAGCCCUUGUCAGCCUGUAUACAGCCUCUGAUGGUCCCUGUUCUUUGUUGAGACACCUUCCACAGCUUAGGCAGCAGGGCCAGUGGGAGCUGGCCGGGGUACUGACUUGCUAGAAAGACUUGCCUUGACCUGAAAAGACAGGGCUUGACCUGCUUCUUCCAAGUCCCGGCCCCUGUAGAACAGGAUAGUAGGUUAGGCUGACUGCCAGGAUUGCCCAGUGAUGUUCAAGGGUGGUGGUAGGGUUUUAACACAGUUCUCCCCAGCCCAUGUUCAACACUGCCAUACUGGGUCUCCGAUCUUGACCUAUAAAUGACUUGGGCUUAGCUAGGAAUCCAUAUUCCAUUGAAAUUUCCAAGAUAAACUGAGAAUGCCCUCUUGACUAUUCCAUCUGUGUGUCAGGUCUGGUGAUGAAGGCAAGGCACACAUGGAGGCAUUCUCAGUGACAGCUUCGCAGUUAUAAAAUUCCUUCCUCUUGGAGGCUCGCCAAUGUCCAUGCCCGAGCAUUUUUCCAGAAGUGCUGAGAGCUAUUUUUCUGUGAUUAAAGAGGGAAAUCUGCAGAGUAACUGUGAGUCCACCCCUGCUCUCUGCGAACUGGGUGGUCUUCCUACCAGUUUUUUAAGACAUCUGAUUUUAGAUGUAGUUUUGUAAAUAGGCAUUUAUUCUUAAAAUAUGUUGGAAGUGGGGAGGCAGACAAACCUAAAUAAGCACUGGCUUAAGCAAGAGAUCCACCACCUGGGGCAGUUAAAUGAUUUGGAUGGUAAAUGCAUUGGAAGCAAAAAGGGGCUAGGCUGUGAUAGAUGUCACCCAGGUGUGUGACUGGCAAUUUGCGUGAUGUAAGGGGAUUUCCUGUGUGAACUAAGGCAGAAGGUUGGCAUGCAGGCAGGCGGUCAAAGUGUUUAGGAGCUUGACUGAAGCUAAAAAUGGACAUUGCAUGGAAGAGAGAGAUUGAGAGAUGUGCUUUGGAUUACGGUGUGCUUGUAUGACCUGGGAGGGGGAAAGCUUCUGUCUUGGGGGUCUGUGCUGAUUGUUGCUUGCCAUCUAGAGUUCUAUAAAGUACCUUAUAAUGUGCCCUGAAAAGGAGACAUGUAAACCAGGCCUGUGCAUAGUUAAAAGAAAUUCUACGGAUUUCUAUGGGGCGUACUGAAAUAAGGGGUGCAUGGUUACUUCCCACCUCUUUCAAGAGUUGAACUACACAUGACUCUUUGAUGGGUGGAUCCCCCCCCCCGAACCUUAUUUUAAAACCUUAAGAAGCUGUGGUAAGUGGCAACCUGAAUUGAAAAUUUGUGAAGAAGGAAAAAUGCUGCUUACCUUUCUCUCUGCAGGCUGUUUGUCUUAUCAAAAUCACUGAGACCAGACUAUUUUUGUCCUGUGGGGGAGAUGAUGUGGAUAUAGGUACAAUUUGCGGAGGAGGAGCAACAGGUAAGAGGGAGAUGAUUAACUCUUCUCCUGUGUGUUGCUUUCCCCCUGCACCCCUUUCCCAAGCUGGGGUUCCUUUUCUAUCCUGUGCUUUAGAUCUAGAUGUCGAUGGCAAUUUCUAACGUCAACAAAUCCUGGAGUUGAGCUGUUAGAGACAUCAAGGAAGAAAUUAUUUUUCAUAAUCGUUUGCUACUGUCUUGAUGCUCCUCACUAAAGGAACUCCUAAUAGUUUUUCCCAAAACACUUUUGAUUUUUAAAACUUGACAUGGGCUGGAAGACUCUUGACCUCCCCUGCUGUAAUUGUACCUUUCAAGGUGACAUUAUCAAACACAUCUGUCACAUCACAUACACUGAUAAACAUUAUGCAUAUGCUUUAAAAACAUAAUGCAUGGAAAAGCCUUAUGGUUUUUGGUUUCUAACACUUUUUUUAAAAAGUAAUGUUAGUUGCAGAAACAGCUAAAAUAAAUUCAUGAAUGGAUGAACAUAAGUGUCAGUGGUGAACAAACUAUAGAUUCUCACUCACCCCUUUUUGGUCAGACUUCCUCAGAGAAGAAAGCUUUCUGUUUCUAGCAGAACCUGACUCUGUAUAUUUCUGAUUGGCUGGGCCUUGUGACAAUCAAGAAACCGCCUCUCUCCAUGGCUGGGUAGUGUGCUGAUUGGUUGAUCCUUGUGGCAAUCACAAAACCACCUUCUGCCCCACCUUGUCCUGGAGCAAAUUUAAAACGAAAGCACCUUGGGUUUCUUUUUCUUUUAUAAAAUUUGCUGAAGGAACGUUUAAGUAGAUAAAAGUGUCAGGCACCUGACUAUAUAUAUAUUUAAAAAAGCCCAAAGCUUGCCCAGGGAACGAGAGGAAAUAGUUGAAAUGAGCACUUAUCCAAAGCCAGGUUUGUAAGAAGUAAAAGCUAAGGGAAACAGAAUACACCCUCCUGCAGAAAAACUGCAAGGCUAUAAGUGAAUACAGUAGAUCUCAUCACACUUGAAGUUACAUCUUAGUAUUCUCUAUUUUUAAGGAUGCCCCCCCAUCCAAGCAUCAUUCUCAUUGCUGCAUUCUGAAAACCUGUUAUGGACCCCUAAAGAUUUAUCCUGAUUGCUGACACAUUGCACAUACACAACUCAAUUCUUUAGGAAACAUUCUUGUUUAAAACCCCAUAGACAGUGUUGGUGCAUCACUGCUAUGAAAAGACCUGUCUGGUGCACAACUGAAUGAACAGUCCUGGCAGCAGGCACAUGCAAUAUGAUCCCAUUGUAAUACUGUUUGAUGCAAGAGUAUGUUUGAUCAGUUACCAGUGAUGAAUAUCAUAUCACAUCAAACAAUAUGAUACAGUCUCAUUGUAUGGAAUUAUGGCUGCUGUCAAUCAGGCAGUCUUCUGCCCCUUUAACUGUCACCUUUGGGGAAUGGAAUAAAAUGAUAGCUACACAUACAUUAAUAAAUGAGCUCCUGCAUGAAUUCCAUACAGACCUGUUGAGAUUUUGUUGUUCUUUUCUUUCUGUGGUUUCUCUCUCUCUCUCUCUCUCUCUCCCCCCUUCAUUUUCUUCUUUUUUAAAACACAUACUGAACAAGAGUUCACUUAGUUUAUAGAACUCACCAUAUGAGAAGCUCUAUAUUACCUUGUUAUGCCCCGCUCCAGAAUAACAGUAGAUAAAACCCACUUAAGUUAUAUCUGUGGUAUAGAUCAGAGGUGGGUUACCUCAGGUCUGAGGGCCAAACAUGGCCUGCCUGGUCUGCCUAGACUCUCUCUAGGUUACGCCCCUCAUUAGCCCCACUUUGCAGCCUCCCUGGGUGUUUUUACGUGGCUGGAAUGGGUCCUUGAACUCUGCUCAUGCGUCUCGUUUGCCUCAAUGGCAGUCAGCAUGUGCAAAGGUAAAAUUUAUAUUCUUUGCACCUCCCACUUUUGCCUCUAGUCCCACCCAUGACUACCAUGUGGCCUCUGGAAGGAAACACAGCCUUCAGUCUGAAAAAGGGUUGUCACUCCUUUUAUGGAUUCUCAGAAAUUAUCUUGCAUCCUAAAGAAGAGUCCUACAAACCAUGCUGACUAUUCUGUAACUUUUUCUGCUUAGGCCUAAUAGAGGUAUUUCCUGUUGAUGUUGUUAUUAUUAUUAUUAUUAUUAUUAUUAUUAUUAUUAUUAAUUGACCUAACCAUUCAUUUUUAUUUCCUAGUCUUUUCUUCUUUUUUUGAAAGAAUUAUAUUGGAGUUUGAUGAGCAUUUCUUUAACAUAAAUUACCCCAGGAACAGCCUCUAUAUUGAAAUCAUUUUCAUAUUGCUUUUGUCUGUCUACUGUCCUAGUUGGUAUAUUGCCUGCCUCCACCAGACUACAUAAAUGUCUUGUCUGUUUUGGAGUGUGUGUGUUUCUUGCCGGGGUGGGGGGUGGGGGAGAGAAUUGGUGACUUUUAGUUUCUUUGAGUUCCCUUUGUUCCUCACUACAUCUGAGUGCCUGAUUUAUGUUUAUAUGUUGACAUGGGCAUUGUGGUAUGUAUGUGCAAGAGCCAGAGAAAUGUCUACCACAUUCACAUAUGUCAGUAAAUCUGUAAGUCUGGGAUCAACACCCCUGAUUAUUAUAGUGUUUGUUUCUCCCACCAGCUGUCCCUUUCUCUUACCUAUGCACAAGGAACCUCUGAGACAGCAUGGUAGUUACAGGGCCUAUGUCUGGUAAGUCACUGUGACAGCAAGAUGGUAGACUAGGUGCCAUUAGUUUCCUCCAGCAGGACCAAUCUUACUUCCUUUUUUUUUUUUUUUGAGCAAGCAUAUCACAUAGGGAAGCACACGUCUCUUUGUCUCUCAUUUUAACUGCACAAGCACACACUCUCAGGCAUAGCAAAAGGCCAGCAACUCCGUGUAUGAUGUGUUGCUUGCUGUGCUCUGCUUCUCUGAUGGCUUCCUGCAAAUCUCACAAGAUCUGGUCAAUAGUGUAUAGAUACAGGGAAAUAGUGCAGUUGUUGUUGUUUUAGAAAAAUCAAGUAUUACCAAUAAUUUAUCCUAGUAGUAAUGGAUCUGCAGCCUGGGCCUGAAUGAACCACUAUUUACAACCACAUCUGCUCUCAUUCCUCUCUUGUUUCCUGUUCCUCUUGCUUUCCUCAAGCAUUUGCUAUCCCUGUCUCUUGCUCCCCUUUCCCCCCUUUGUUGACCUCUUGAUCGUAAGAUACCUGGGGGCAGAGGACCUGGUGCUUUGUUUUUUCAUGCAUUGCUGUGAAAAGUGCACUAUUAAUUUAUGAUGCCAAACAAACAAUUAAUUAGAAUAAGCCCGCUCAGACUGACUGUUUGAAACAGGUCUUCCUGUGCACCGCACCAACUGCAGUAUGCUGCCAUGCUGACUUCGGCUUCUGACGAAUACAAUAGCCUGUCACAUUGCCAUCUUCAGCUGUCAUGUUGUCAUCAGGCAUCCCAGACUACUGAGGGUCAGCAUUCAAAGAGAAGCUCUUCUUGCAAGCUGGGCUUCCUUUCAAGAUCAAGCCCAAGUGUGAAUCCAUUGUGCUGCACCUUAUUGCGCAGAAGACGCUAAUUUGGUAGAUGCACUCUGCCGUAUUCUGAUCUUGCCUGAUCAUACAAGCUGUGUGCAAGAGAUCUGCCAAAAGUGGUUGGAGUGGCAAAUUUCUGCCAAAACUAUGCUGCGUGGCAUGGUAUGUCGUGCUGUCGAAUCUUAGGAAAACUAUAACCCGGUAAGGUGUUGUUGUUGUAUGAAGAAGAAGAAAAAUACCACUAAGAUGCAGCCUGAGCUGAAAAGGGCUUACAGUCCAAAUAUGAGACAUAUGACAACAAGAGAAUGGAACUGUUGUUGGAGCAUCCUUCCUUCUCUUUAAAAAUACUGUUAACAGUAGUGCUUUCCUCCUGAGGUGAUUAUACCUCCAAGGGCUCCUUCUGUUAAAGAAGUAUUUGCCUAAGUCUUCUGGCCCUGUUCCAGUUUGGAUAAUUACACUCAACCUAAUUUAUUAAGUUUUAUUUGGAUGGCUGUAUUCGCCCCUUUGCUUGCCUCAAUAUUGUACAGGCGACGCUGUUAAAACUUCUGCGCGUUUUAGGAGAGGGUGAAGGCAAUUCGAUUUAGAUAUACAAAUAAGACUUUAAUGAUCCCUGAUUUGUGAAGCUGUUGUACGCAUAGCAAUUCUGGAGCCAGCAUUGUUAGGAGGUGAACUGAAACGGGAAUAAAAGUGAAUUUGUGCUCCCAUUAAGAUUGCUUUCAGACUUCAAAGCGGCUGUAAAUCAGGCUGCGGUGUUCCAGUAAGCUCACCCAUUAUCCACCGUAGUCGUGCUGACAUCUUUUCAAAUCAGAGGAUGAGGGUUUGGUGAGGAGGCCUCAUUUCAUGCAAGUACUCCCAGUAAUGGAAAACGUAACAAAAAGUUGUGCAAGUGUAUGUACCACUGAAGUAUAGAGUUGUUUUUCUUUCACAGAGCCUAACGUGCAUCAGGUUCAAAAGGGAUUCUUCUGCUGUUACACCACCACCACCACCACCACCAACAACCAAAAGAAAGUUAAGCAUUACUUUGCUUGAACAUAAAUGGUAAAUAAAGGCACUGAAGAUUCCUUCUCUCUGAAGAAAAGUUACAUGACCCAUAUGCUUAUGCAGCCAGUUGGUCUAAGAAAAGCAAUUUUUGGCAUGCUUGGAUUGCACAAACAGAACUAUUUCUUCAGAAGAAGAAGAUUGUGCAACAUGAAACUUGCUACUUUAGCAUAGCUGGUCCAAUGCUGUGCACAUUGGGCAGCUCCAAACUUAUCCUAUUUUGCUGAUUCUGUGUAAAAACAACAUGCCGCAAAUAUACAAGCAACUGACUUCAUUCGUUCAUUGUACUGACCAAAAAUACCAGAGAGACAAGUCUGGAUGAUGGGGCCAUAUAGAAGGCCAAGACUUUCUAGGUGGAUACCCUUGGAGAUGUACCCGCAUGCCAGCCUGAGUAUUUUCCACAAAUGUGGUAAAAUAUUUUGCUCAUGCUUGCUUUCAGUGCCUAAGGUUAUUAUGGGGAGAGAGAAUACUUUGUUCUGUUGGGAUUGGAGCAACAGUCAAAUAAUGUUAUAUGCAUUUUAGAAUAUAUGUGUCAAUAUUUUUAGGUAGAUAGGUUUAUGUGUGUCACUUUUAAAUAUUUAUUAUCGGUG
rnacentral:lncRNA from 1 species